rnacentral:sRNA from 1 species
GUUCCUGGCCCGGAUUCAUUCCCCACCUCCGACCCUCCGGUUCCAAUCCGGACGCGAGGCGACGCGAGAGGAGAAGCGAGGAAACGGCGCGGCGGCGCACCGACGUCAACGGCGACGGCGACCGCUUCCCAUCCGACGUCCACGCUCUCCGCCGCCUUCUCGCCGCGGAUAAUCAGUUGAUAUUCCCAAAUGUCGAUGGAUUGCUACCAGAGGGACCGGAGGAAGGCGAAGCUAGAUUGAUUAGUGAUGAAGUCCUGAAAAGAAUGUGCUUAAUCCUGAAAUAUAUUACUGUUCAUGCUUAACUAGAUAGAAAUAUGCAUGAUGUUCUGAAUUCUGAUGAAUGAUGACAGCAACUGAAUAUGGUGAAGAAUUGUCAUGAUGCU